rnacentral:rRNA from 1 species
ACGGGAGGCAGCAGUGGGGAAUAUUGCACAAUGGGCGAAAGCCUGAUGCAGCGACGCCGCGUGAGUGAAGAAGUAUCUCGGUAUGUAAAGCUCUAUCAGCAGGGAAGAAAAUGACGGUACCUGACUAAGAAGCCCCGGCUAACUACGUGCCAGCAGCCGCGGUAAUACGUAGGGGGCAAGCGUUAUCCGGAUUUACUGGGUGUAAAGGGAGCGCAGACGGCUUUGCAAGUCUGAUGUGAAAGGCAGGGGCUCAACUCCUGGACUGCAUUGGAAACUGUAGGGCUAGAGUGUCGGAGAGGUAAGCGGAAUUCCUAGUGUAGCGGUGAAAUGCGUAGAUAUUAGGAGGAACACCAGUGGCGAAGGCGGCUUACUGGACGAUAACUGACGUUGAGGCUCGAAAGCGUGGGGAGCAAACAGGAUUAGAUACCCUGGUA